rnacentral:rRNA from 1 species
CCUACGGGAGACAGCAGUGGGGAAUAUUGCACAAUGGGCGCAAGCCUGAUGCAGCCAUGCCGCGUGUGUGAAGGAGGCCUUCGGGUUGUAAAGCACUUUCAGCGGGGAGGAAGGCGGUGAGGUUAAUAACCUCAUCGAUUGACGUUACCCGCAGAAGAAGCACCGGCUAACUCCGUGCCAGCAGCCGCGGUAAUACGGAGGGUGCAAGCGUUAAUCGGAAUUACUGGGCGUAAAGCGCACGCAGGCGGUCUGUCAAGUCGGAUGUGAAAUCCCCGGGCUCAACCUGGGAACUGCAUUCGAAACUGGCAGGCUAGAGUCUUGUAGAGGGGGGUAGAAUUCCAGGUGUAGCGGUGAAAUGCGUAGAGAUCUGGAGGAAUACCGGUGGCGAAGGCGGCCCCCUGGACAAAGACUGAUGCUCAGGUGCGAAAGCGUGGGGAGCAAACAGGAUUAGAUACCCGUGUAGUC